GACGCGGGCAAGGCAGGCACGCAUCCGCUGGAGUCCCAUUACCGGCCCCCGGGCGGCAGCUAUGAGCCCAAGAAAGAUGCCAGUGAGGGCUGCACCGUGGUUGGUGGGGGCAUCCAGUCCUACCUAUAGAAGGGCCGUGUGUACAGCAAUACAAGUAGGUGUCACAAUUGCUUUGGAAAAAAAAAA